rnacentral:rRNA from 1 species
CUGGGCUACACACGUGCUACAAUGGACGGUACAAAGAGCUGCAAGACCGCGAGGUGGAGCUAAUCUCAUAAAACCGUUCUCAGUUCGGAUUGUAGGCUGCAACUCGCCUACAUGAAGCUGGAAUCGCUAGUAAUCGCGGAUCAGCAUGCCGCGGUGAAUACGUUCCCGGGCCUUGUACACACCGCCCGUCACACCACGAGAGUUUGUAACACCCGAAGUCGGUGGGGUAACCUUUUUGGAGCCAGCCGCCUAAGGUGGGACAGAUGAUUGGGGUGAAGUCGUAACAAGGUAGCCGUAUCGGAAGGUGCGGUUGGAUCACCUCC